rnacentral:rRNA from 1 species
UACGUAGGGGGCAAGCGUUGUCCGGAUUUAUUGGGCGUAAAGAGCUCGUAGGCGGUCUGUCGCGUCUGCUGUGAAAUCCCGAGGCUCAACCUCGGGCUUGCAGUGGGUACGGGCAGGCUAGAGUGCGGUAGGGGAGAAUGGAACUCCUGGUGUAGCGGUGGAAUGCGCAGAUAUCAGGAAGAACACCGAUGGCGAAGGCAGUUCUCUGGGCCGUAACUGACGCUGAGGAGCGAAAGCGUGGGGAGCGAACAGG